AGAGUUUGAUCCUGGCUCAGGACGAACGCUGGCGGCGUGCCUAACACAUGCAAGUCGAACGGAAAGGCCCCUUCGGGGGUGCUCGAGUGGCGAACGGGUGAGUAACACGUGGGUGAUCUGCCCUGCACUUCGGGAUAAGCUUGGGAAACUGGGUCUAAUACCGGAUAGGACCACGGCCUGCAUGGGUUGUGGUGGAAAGCUUUUGCGGUGUGGGAUGGGCCCGCGGCCUAUCAGCUUGUUGGUGGGGUGAUGGCCUACCAAGGCGACGACGGGUAGCCGGCCUGAGAGGGUGUCCGGCCACACUGGGACUGAGAUACGGCCCAGACUCCUACGGGAGGCAGCAGUGGGGAAUAUUGCACAAUGGGCGCAAGCCUGAUGCAGCGACGCCGCGUGGGGGAUGACGGCCUUCGGGUUGUAAACCUCUUUCACCAUCGACG
rnacentral:rRNA from 1 species